GAUUUUUGAAUUCAGAUUCAGCCGUCUCUCAACUCUCACGUCUCCACGCCCUACCGUCUGCCUCCGGCGACCGGUGCCCCGUCCCACCGGCCAUCGGAGCCGGUGGAAUCUCCAGCGCUGCCGCGCCCAUCUCCCUCUGCACCCUCUUUUCUCUCUCUCUCACCUCUCUCCAGCGCCGCCGCGCCCGUCUGCCAGAAUCUUGCCACCCUCGACCUCUCCCAGAAUCUGCUCGUGAGCCCCCUCACGCCCUCCCUCUCCGAAGUCCGACCUCCCUUUCCUCAGGUAAGAAAAGGAAGAAGCAGACGCAAGUGACACAAUUCUCACACCCAAUUCAUUUAGAUAUUUCUUGUUCUUGAUUUUAAUUCAAGUUUUUUAAUUUUAUUCUUUUACUUUUGGUGAUUCGAAUCUAUUUGGCAACAUAUAUCUCUAGUUAUUUGCCUCCUCUUGAUUGAGUCUUCAGGAACUGGGUAGCAGUUUGCUCCAAAUGCUUCACAAAUUUUGUAGAUUUUUUCCUUGCUUGCUGGCCUGAGAAGAAUACCAUAAAAACUCUGUUCUCAACCUGCAGAUGCGGAGGAACAUAUCAGUAUUGAAAACAUGUAAAUAUGUAAUGCCUCAUCAACAAAGUGAUCCCGAUUCCCGACACUGCAAAAGUGCAUAAAUGAUUUUAAUUCUAAAAUAAUAGAACCAAUUAGUUUAGAAUACAUGUGCUUGGUCAUGGGAAAUAGAUAGUACAUCUUUUAACUCUUGGAGUGGUACUUCAGCUUCUUCUGAUUUGCUAACUAAUUGAACUCAGUAUUUAAAUAAGAAAAGGUAGAUACUAUUGUGAAGUUUUCAGCUUCAUCUACAUAGUUCUUUGGUGCUGGCAGAUGAUAUAUAUUGUGCAG
rnacentral:lncRNA from 1 species